rnacentral:rRNA from 1 species
GUGUCAGCCGCCGCGGUAAUACGGAGGGGGCUAGCGUUGUUCGGAAUUACUGGGCGUAAAGCGCGCGUAGGCGGGCUGUUAAGUCAGGGGUGAAAUCCCGGGGCUCAACCCCGGAACUGCCUUUGAUACUGGCAGCCUAGAGUUCGAGAGAGGUGAGUGGAAUUCCGAGUGUAGAGGUGAAAUUCGUAGAUAUUCGGAGGAACACCAGUGGCGAAGGCGGCUCACUGGCUCGAUACUGACGCUGAGGUGCGAAAGCGUGGGGAGCAAACAGGGUUAGAUACCCUGGUAGUCCACGCCGUAAACGAUGAGUGCCAGACGUCGGGCGGCUUGCCGUUCGGUGUCGCAGCUAACGCAUUAAGCACUCCGCCUGGGGAGUACGGCCGCAAGGUUAAACUCAAAUGAAUUGACGGGG